AGAGAUGCAUUGGGCGUAAAGCGUGCGCAGGCGGUUUUGUAAGACAGAGGUGAAAUCCCCGGGCUCAACCUGGGAACUGCCUUUGUGACUGCAAGGCUGGAGUGCGGCAGAGGGGAUGGAAUUCCGCGUGUAGCAGUGAAAUGCGUAGAUAUGCGGAGGAACACCGAUGGCGAAGGCAAUCCCCUGGGCCUGCACUGACGCUCAUGCACGAAAGCGUGGGGAGCAAACA
rnacentral:rRNA from 1 species